UACCCCAUUUUCAAGAAAAGAGGCAUUUGGCGCAUCACCUGGUCGCUUUUCUGCUACCGCCGGGAACGAGCUCAAGGUUGGGAGGAAGAGAGGAAAUUCUGCUUCGCAUGCAUCCAGGAUGUCCCUGGGGGGAGGGUGUGAUGUCCUGGACUGAGAAAACCCAAAACCAUGGCUGGGACAGCAGUUCUUGGGCAGAAUUUGAGAGCCUUGCAUGCGCACACAGUGGCUAUCAUCCUGUUUAAGUCUUUCUUUCUUGACUUCUCGACUCACUGACCAAACUUUUUGUGACGAGGUUUGAAGUUCUGGAGAGCAAGGACGAGCUUGAUCUCAUUGGACAACAACCACCAGAAUCGCUGCGGCAGUUUAACCAGCGCUUUCAGUCUUAUAUUCGUAAAUUCGUCUUGUGUGGCGACUUGAUACGGCUGUGCAUCACUUUGCCAAGUUCCAGCCUUCUUGGAUUGGUCCUUAUCAGGUACUUUCUCGUGCUGGCACUAAUUCGUAUUGGCUAGCAGAGUUGACGGGCAGGAAACCACCGAAGCCAAUCAAUGGAGUUGAUCUCAAACGGUAUUUCUUUUGACUGGUACAGUUCACGUUUCGUUUCUAUUCUUUUAAUGCUGUGAGUGUCUUUGCGAGAACUAUUUUGUUACUCACAGGCCCGAACCUGAUUCGGGAGCAGGACACUGUCUCCUGGGAUAAGUUCUGUCCCAUUCGCGAUGCGGAGACAGCUUGUUGAGGGGCACGAUCCUGUGGUACGUAAUGCCUCUCUCUCCCCUGUCUCUUGAGGUUUCCGAUCGUCACAGUUCUGAGGUGCAUUCUUUGUCUCAAAUCGCUGAGAAUGUUAAUCUGCAUUUCCUUGCUUUCUGUCAUAACUGUUACAUUUGAACUGCUUUCUAUGUUUUCUUGUUCCGUGGUCUCGUUCGUCUAGUUGUGGCCUGUCGUUAACAAUCUUUCACUGGGGAUGGCCAAAGCGCUUGGUCUCUCUGGCGUUGGAAAGUUUCAUGGCGGUUGGUUCUCGUCGACAGUUGGCCAAGUCGCUUGGUCCUUUCGGCUUGUCAAUCGACUGCCUAUGACGGGCUGCUUCAAGGAUGGAUGAGACACGAGAAAUUCAUGUGUGAUGCCUUUCUGUGCUUAUUGUCUUUCUUUCAUACCAUUGCCUCGAAGCUUGAACAUGGAUGCUACCUCAGAAUCUUUGACUUUGGACCUCCAAUCACUUGGGAUUGAGACUCAUUCGCCCCUUGAGAGUGCACUCCAUCAACACUGAAUCUCUUAGUAUCUGCGCACUUGGGACGUGCUUUCCCCAGUCAGUCGCCAAAUACGAAACGUACGGGAGAGUGUUAUAAGAGGGUAGACAUUCUUUGGAUGAUGUUAGUGCAUAGGUCAUGAAGGGAACCGCCAUGGAGAUGUGCUCCAGGUCGAGAUA